rnacentral:lncRNA from 1 species
CUUUGCAGUGCUGGGACAAGAUUCUUCAGAUGGCUAUGUAUGCUCUGAAUCAGCAUCCAAUAUAUGGCAGUGUUUCUCCCAUAGCCAGGAGUCACAGGUCCAGGAAUCAAGGGGUGAAAGUUGAAGUGGCACCACUCACCAUCACCCCUAGUGACCCACUAGUAAAAUUUUUGCUUCCUGUUCUGCUGGCCUCGAGGUCUCAGUUCCAGAGGGAGGAAUGCUGCCACCAGGUGACAUAAAGAUGACUCCAUUAAACUGGAAGUUAAGCAUGUCACCUGGCCACUUUGGGCUCCUGCUACCUGUAAGUCAAGAGGCUAAAAAGGGAGUUACAGUGUUGGCUGGGGUGAUUACCUGGAAUAUCAAGAUGAAAUCAGUCUACUACUCCACAAUGGAGGAACUGUCCCUUUAGCUUGAGCUCUGGAAUGGAAAGACAUUCAAUAGAUUGACAGCAGUUAACCCACAGCCAUUGACACCUAAAACAAUAAAAUAAUGACUACAACAAUUUUGAUAGGUAAACCUAUCAGUAUGUUUUACAGCUUUUGGUUGAUGGGGGGAGGGAAUCUAAAUGUAGGGUAGAAGCUAAAAUAGAAGACUGACAACUUCUCUAAG